rnacentral:snRNA from 1 species
CCCUCAGGAUAGCUGGAGC